rnacentral:rRNA from 1 species
UACGGGGGGGGCAAGCGUUGUUCGGAAUUACUGGGCGUAAAGGGCUCGUAGGCGGCCAACUAAGUCAGACGUGAAAUCCCUCGGCUUAACCGGGGAACUGCAUCUGAUACUGGAUGGCUUGAGUUCGGGAGAGGGAAGUGGAAUUUCAGGUGUAGCGGUGAAAUGCGUAGAUAUCUGAAGGAACAUCAGUGGCGAAAGCGACUUCCUGGACCAAUACUGACGCUCAUGUGCGAAAGCGUGGGGAGCAAACAGG